GUCACGAUAGCUCAAGUGGUAGAGCAUCGGCUUUUCAAGCCGAAGAUCGUGGGUUCGAAUCCCUCUCGUGACG
rnacentral:tRNA from 1 species